UGAAAUGCAGAAUAAUGUUGGAUCUUAAGUUUACAAACUAACAACCAGCUGAAUUACUAGUGCAACUGUGUCGGGAAGGUUCCAAAUUUCAAAGUAAAACUAGCAAGCGUUUUUUUGUAGUUGAUAGACUUAGACGGAAGUUCAAUUUACUGACAUAGGUUCUGAAAAAAAUGAAUUAUGAUGAUCUCCUAUUCUAAAUAACAGUAUAAAUGAUGGUGAAUCUGUCAUGGUGCCUCUGUCAGUCUCCUCCCCCUCCCCUCUCCGCUUGGCUGCGGAUCCUUCUCAGCUGCGACCACUCACCUCAUCACCAUGCCGGCCUACUUAAGGAGCUCCAGGACCUUCAUUCCCCGCCAGUCCGUUGCCCCUGAUGGAAUUCCUCACCACGAGUGGUCGUCAGUCUCAGCUUCAUCCUGGAUCCCCAGUUUGGUCUUCGCCUGCAGUCACACCACGAGCCUCUGCCUCGGACCUCAACCCACGCUCUUCCUCCCAUCUCUCCAUUAAAUCUUUUUACCUGC